rnacentral:lncRNA from 1 species
AUGCAUCAGAUCUUGCAAAGAGGAAAUCAGUCUUCCCACAGGUCAUCCAUACCCGCAAUUGAAGACAACGAUGGUGAACCAACCCAUCAUCAAUUCUAAAGGAAACCCACCACACGAAGGCCUGCUGUGGUAAAACCCCUAGCUCACGCCUUACAUUUUAUCGCGAACGAGACUCCAACCGACGACUUAGAGAAAGUCACCAGGGUACCGCU